rnacentral:lncRNA from 1 species
UUUUUUUUUUACAUGUAAUGUUCUUAAACUUUUGUUACAAUGUAUAUUUAUAGUUUAUAUAUAAAAUAUAAAUAUAUAAAGGCCUGGAUAAAUUAUGUAUUUCAUAAAAUGAUUGUUUAUGGACUAAGCAAACGUUCGAGGUUACUAAAGUAACCCUUCAGGUUGAGAUGAUCAAGAGCCACGGUAUCCAGAAACCACCAAAUGAAAAAGAUGAACCACAUCCAACAGGAGGAACUGUGGAUGCCAGAGGAAUCUGUCUGAAAUGGAUGUCUUUGUGUAGUGAACAAGCAUGAAUAACAUGCAGGUUUUGGAGUAUUCAUGUGGAAUUCCUAGCUUCAGCUUACAUGUUUUUCAUGUUUGUUACCCAUUUAUUAAUACGAUUUACCAUUAACAAAGCAUUUGUUGGUGUAAUUAAUAACCUUAUUGUAGCACUCAGCAUUAUCUAAUGUUACAUUUGUUCAUUAAUGGUUCUUGUAAGCAAGGUGUUAACUAAUUUAUUAAUUAACACUGUAACAGACGUUAAUAAGAGUUAUCUUACAUUUCUUCAUGUUUAAGGAUCACUUUAUUUCUAUUGUUUAUGGGGGACUUUUAUUUUGACAAGAAAUCGUUUUUUCAGAGCUAAAAAGUUAUGAUGAGAGAACAGUAUGGAUAGCGGGCAUUUCAUGACGGUUUAACAGAGCUCGUGUUAAAAAGGACGGUUUGUAAGUUUAUUCCUCGCUGCCAGAUAUGUUGAGCUUCUUUAAAGGAAGUGCAGCAGAUGACGCAGGCUCAACGUAGCCAUUGUGUAACGAAACGAUUGAGCGCUUCACCACAUUAAUAUUCACGAGAAGUAUUACGAGCUGUUACGACAGACACAAUCAUCGUGACAACACAGCUACGUUUUACUUGAAUUAUUCAU